AGUCACUGACAUUAGAUACCCGUGUAGUCCAGGUGUAAACGCUGCAGACUUGGUGUUGGGACCCUUCGGGGGUGUUCAGUGCCGGAGAGAAGUUGUUAAGUCUGCUACUUGGGAGUACGUCCGCAAGGAUGAACUUAAAGGAAUUGGCGGGGGAGCACCGCAACGGGAGGAACGUGCGGUUUAAUUGGAUUCAACACCGGAAAACUCACCAGCAGCGACUGUUACAUGAAAGUCAGGCCGAUGACCUUACUAGAUUUUCAG
rnacentral:rRNA from 1 species